GUCUCCAAAUCCUUUCAAGUACCUGCAAGAAAAGUUUUAAAUAUCAAAUGGCCAGUAACGUGAAAACUCCUCUCAACUUACCAAUCAAACCAGACUCCAACCAUUAAACUAUCUUUUAUUUUUAUUAGUCUUUAAUUUCCAGUUGUUGCAUUUAAUUUCUCAAAGCCUUGUUCAUUUAAUUUCCAAAAGCUUUGUAAUUACUUUGUAGCAAUAAAUACAGGUUCUAUUUUCCAAUUUCUUAAUCUAUGAGAUUAAGCAAAGUUACAUAUAGUAGUGUAUAUUCCAGUAAUCAUCAUUGAUUCUAGAAGUCUUUAGCUUAUACACUCAAUAUCUAACUAACAUGCUCGCAAAUCAUAAAAUGUUAAGCAACUAAUUGUCUUUAAGCAAACAAUUGGUCAUUUGUCAUUUUAUGUGGCUAGGAGCUGCUCACUUCUAUGUGCAAUCCAAGUAUUUUGAUGAGACACAAGUACUAAAGGAGUAGAUAAGAAAUAUGAUAUUUUCAACUUUUGUUUUUGAGCUUCCUUUGAAAAAAUCUUCUUUGUUGUACAGGUGCACUCUAAUUGAACAUGUCCCUCCUUAGAAAGAUGCCCUUAGAAGUGCUCUAUUAAGAUAUAUGGAGAUGAGAAGCUCAAUAUGCAUGCCUUCGUAUGUGAUUGAGGUUUAUGAGCUAAAGAGUUCUUAAGAUAGCUAAAUACAAAGUCUUUGGUACCUCCAUGUUGGAAGUCUUUGGACUAGUAGAGCUUGGACUGCUUCUGACCAUGCACAUUUUCUUAUGAGUCUUUCGUUCCUUUUGAGUUUUUAGACCAAUAAGGCAUGGACUCACUCUAGCUGUACAUAUUCUUUUAUGUGAAUCUUUGGUGCCCCCAUAUUUGAGGUCUUUGGAGCAGUGAAGUCAACCCACUUCUAGCUGUUUUUGCCUUCUAGGCAUUUGUAGGACCCUUGGCCUUCUUUAGGUUUGUAAUGAUUGUACUCAUUUAAUUUUCUUGCUCUAUGUGUUAGAUGACCUAGGAGGUGAACCUUCUAUAGGUAGAUGUGGAGAAAUCUAUAUUUUCUUGUAAGGCAUGGGAGGUUACCUCCUCUAGGUAGAUGGGAAGAGCAACUUCUCCUUGGAGACUUAGGAGGUCUACCCUUUAUAAGUAGAUACGGGCAGUAGAUGACUCCUGGAUGACCUUGAAAGUCUACCUUCUAUAAGUAGACGUGGAGGGCAGAUCUAUCUUCUCCUAGAGAACCUAGGAGGUCUACCUUCAAUAAGCAGAUAUAGAAGGUAGGCCUACCUUCUCCUAAACAACCUAGGAGGUCUACCUUCUAUAAGUAGAAGUAGAGGAAGGUCUAAAAGGUCUACAUUUUUCAAGUAGACGUGGACAACAGGUCUAUCUUUUCUUAGACAACCGCGGAGGUCUACUUUAUGUAAGUAGACGUAGAGGGUUGACCAAUAAAGUCCGAUAGCAAGUCUAACAAUCUAAGAGCAAUAUAUAAUUGUAGCAGUUGUUUUCAUUAAUUAGCAAUUAACUUGGAUAAUUUUAUCCAUUAAUUAUUCAAACAAGCGUACUAACUUUGUAGUAAAUAAAUUUAUUAACAAACUAAACAUGAAAUAUAAGAAUAUAGAAUUUAUGCAAAACUCAUACGGAAGGCUUAUAAUUAACCUUGUAAACUAUUCAUUCCAUUCGUCCAAUA
rnacentral:misc_RNA from 1 species